GCUCUUGAUUGUGCACAGGUGAAGUAAAUGAACAGGACUCCCUAAAGGACAGAAGCACACAGCCAGUGAGCAAGCCGCUCAGACACACAGCGCUCAGAUGGCAGCCUGCUCCUAGGACGCACCAGGCCUGUAUCCCACGACUGCCUCUGAACACUCCAAACAAUGAACUAAAGAACUGACCUGAACCCCAUCCUACACGGAGAAGGGAACCUGUGUAGAGAAAGCGAUUCAAUGGAGAGCUAGUAAGGAGAAGAGGCCUUACUAAAAGUGGAGGAACUGACACCACGUUGGACUCGACUACACAGGCUACAUUUGGAUGAAUAUUGACUGUUGGAAAAUAAGAAAUGUUGAUUGAUGGAUUUUACCCAAUCGGUUUUUGGGAUGGAAUUUCUAUUUUUGAGGAGACUUUAUUUUUUUUUAAUAAUAUUUUUGACACUUCCUAACUUUUUCCAAAUAAAGUAUUAUUAAUUGUGGAAC